rnacentral:rRNA from 1 species
GUCUUAUUGAAAUAUAAUUUUAAGUCUAAUCUGCUCAAUGAAUAAUUUAAAUAGCUGCAGUAUUAAUAACUGUACUAAGGUAGCAUAAUAAAUAGUUUUUUAAUUGGAAUCUAGAAUGAAAGAUUUAAUGAAAUAUAAACUGUUUCAGAUUUAAUUAAUGAAUUUUUUUUUAAAUAAGAAAAUUUAAAUAUAUUAUAAAGACAAGAAGACCCUGUAGAAUUUUUAUAAUUAAUUUAUUAUUAUAAUAAGUUUAUUUUUUUAAUUGGGGAAAUUUUAAAAUUUAUUUAAUUUUUAAUUAAUUUAUCAUUUAUUUUUGUAUAAUUAUAUUUUAUUAAAAUAUAAAUUAAAAUUACCUUAGGGAUAACAGCAUAAUUUUAUUUUUAAGUUCAAAUUUUUAAUAAAGUUUAU